rnacentral:misc_RNA from 1 species
GAUGAAGAACGCAGCGAAAUGCGAUACUUGGUGUGAAUUGCAGAAUCCCGCGAAUCAUCGAGUUUUUGAACGCAAGUUGCGCCCGAAGCCAUUCGGCCGAGGGCACGUCUGCCUGGGUGUCACGCAUCGUUGCCCCCCCAAACUCCGGUUCGGGCGGGGCGGAAGUUGGCCUCCCGUGCGUGCCUGCGCGCUCGGUUAGCCCAAAAGCGAGUCCUCGGCGAUGAGCGCCACGACAAUCGGUGGUUUUUUUACCCUCGUUCCUCGUCGUGCGUGCCCCGUCGCCCGAACGCGCUCUUGCAACCCUUACGCGUCGCCUCGGUGGCGCUCCCAACGCGACCCCAGGUCAGGCGGGACUACCCGCUGAGUUUAAGCAUAUCAAUAAGCGGAGGA